AAGACUAUAAACAAUCACUAAAGGGCUAUUAAUUGAAGAAUUAAUUGAAGCCUGAAAAAACAAGAAUAAAAAUGAAUCUUCAGGAAGUUUCAGAAUGAAAAUGAAGUCCAGGCUUCAGGGACAUCCUAGUUCAGAAAUGUGAAAACAGAGGAUGUCUUCUAAUGAGAGAAAAGAAAUCAUUUAAGGGGCUUCAUCCAUAGCUCACCAGAGAGAGAACCAUUUCCACAGACUUCAAUGGAUUUCACUUCAGGCUUUUUCUGGACUGGACUAAUCAACCAUUCCUUAGUCAAAAUAUGUUCCUUGUAUCUGUAGGCACUGUGCAAUA